rnacentral:rRNA from 1 species
CAGUCGCCGCGGUAACACGUAGGGUGCGAGCGUUAAUCGGAAUUACUGGGCGUAAAGCGUGCGCAGGCGGUUAUAUAAGACAGAUGUGAAAUCCCCGGGCUCAACCUGGGACCUGCAUUUGUGACUGUAUAGCUAGAGUACGGUAGAGGGGGAUGGAAUUCCGCGUGUAGCAGUGAAAUGCAUAGAUAUGCGGAGGAACACCGAUGGCGAAGGCAAUCCCCUGGAUCUGUACUGACGCUCAUGCACGAAAGCGUGGGGAGCAAACAGGAUUAGAUACCCCUGUAGUCCCUGUCUCUUAUAC